rnacentral:tRNA from 1 species
GGCAGUGUCACCUAGUGGAUCGAGCACUGGACUGGGACUCCGAGGAACUGGGUUCUAGUCCCAGCACUGCCA